rnacentral:rRNA from 1 species
UUCCGUCGGAAUCUGGGAGGACCAUCUCCCAAGGCUAAAUACUCCCUAGUGAUCGAUAGUGAACCAGUACCGUGAGGGAAAGGUGAAAAGCACCCCGGAAGGGGAGUGAAAGAGAUCCUGAAACCGUGUGCCUACAAGUAGUUAGAGCCCGUUAAUGGGUGAUAGCGUGCCUUUUGUAGAAUGAACCGGCGAGUUACGAUUACGUGCGAGGUUAAGCUUUAGAAGGCGGAGCCGCAGCGAAAGCGAGUCUGAAUAGGGCGAAAUAGUACGUGGUCGUAGACCCGAAACCAGGUGAUCUACCCAUGUCCAGGGUGAAGGUGAGGUAACACUUACUGGAGGCCCGAACCCACGCACGUUGAAAAGUGCGGGGAUGAGGUGUGGGUAGCGGAGAAAUUCCAAUCGAACUUGGAGAUAGCUGGUUCUCUCCGAAAUAGCUUUAGGGCUAGCCUCGUGAUGAGAAUACUGGAGGUAGAGCACUGUUUGGACUAGGGGGCCAUCCCGGUUUACCGAAUUCAGACAAACUCCGAAUGCCAGAUAUUUAUACACGGGAGUCAGACUGCGAGUGAUAAGAUCCGUAGUCAAAAGGGAAACAGCCCAGACCACCAGCUAAGGUCCCAAAGUAAUCGUUAAGUGGAAAAGGAUGUGGCGUUGCACAGACAACCAGGAUGUUGGCUUAGAAGCAGCCAUCAUUUAAAGAGUGCGUAAUAGCUCACUGGUCGAGUGACGCUGCGCCGAAAAUGUAUCGGGGCUAAACGAUUCACCGAAGCUGUGGAUUGACAUCUACGAUGUCAGUGGUAGGAGAGCGUUCUAAGUGCGUUGAAGUCAGAUCGGAAGGACUGGUGGAGC